rnacentral:sRNA from 1 species
AAUGCUGAACAUUUCUCUCCACCCGGCUCCUCCCGCAAACCCUGCCUGGACAUGUCAUCCCCAAACCUGGCACAUGGGCAGCUUUCUCUUUGGGAAGGUUUUAUGAGCAUCUCCACAGGAAUAAUAACAGAAAACCAGGACACGGGGACGGGAGAGCCGUUCCAGGAGUCCCUCCAGCUGUGUCCUUACCCACAUCUCUGGCUCACAAUGCACUGUAACAUGCAGACUCCUCUCAACAACCUUCUUCCUGUCUCCUGAUUCUCCUCUCCUUCUUUCGGGGCAAUGACUCCUGCCAUCAGGUGGCAGACCCUCCGUGUGACCUCAGCACUGACGUGACUACCAUCCUAUCUCCUCUCCACUCUUCAGCUCUUGGCUGAUGACCAGAUUCCUCCCACUGUGACACAGGAAAGUCCAAGGUGAGUCCUAACUGUAGGCCAAAGUCCAUGUGUGCGCUGUGUCUGGUCCAGAUGAAAGGGUGCUAUUUAUCCGAGAUUGACAUUCUACUUCUUGCUUUACCUUUCUAACUGUCUCUUUGUGCCUUCGUUCCCAACCUUCCAAGGUCCAAGUAUACACGUUAAACUUCCUUCAUUUCUUCUCCUAUCUGUUUAACUAGAGGUAACUUCAGAGUAGUUAAAUUCUUCCAGUACUGAAUGUCUAGUUUCUAGUCCAUGUAACUGCAGAAGAGACAUGAUUUUAUAAUACUUAUCGAUUUAAACUUUGAUUAACUCACACAAGCCUUUGUAAUCAGACGGCUUUCUCUUCAUCUAAAUCAGCCAUCUCGUGCAGCAGGUGGAGAUCAGAUAACAGAGCAAGCAGACCACAGAAAGGGCUUGCCCAGUGCAGUCUGCUCAAUGCUGAGCUUAACAAGUCCCUGUUUUCAUCAACUGGUUAGAGAAUUUAUUCAUUCCCUACGCACUUGAUAAUAAUGUAACCUGGACAUCUGUUGUGUUUAGAUACAGUAACUACAUGAUCAUUUUCAAUGAGGCUAUCAGGCCUUUCAGGAAAAAACAAUCUCAGACUAACACGGUCUAUCUUAUAAUAUUGGCCAGCUCAGCUCAUGUCUGUUUGGCUUCACUGUGAGUAAAGAGAGAAUUCCAAAGCUACUGAUUGACCUUCUUCUGUGUUCUACUCAGGAAACAUAAGUUAAGCAGGAACACGAGAGUUGGCUAGGGGAGCUCAAAGAUCUCCAUCAAAGUAGCUGGGGCUACUUAGAAGGAAUCGGGUAACUGCUGGAGCUGGCGCUGUGCAAGCAACUUCACUAGUAGAGAUGCCACAUCAAGACAAGGAGGAGAAAUGCUGGUCUGUCCGUUGUUUACAAGGAGACAGAGCUGACCUGGCUCUUCAAACACGGGACAGGAGACACAGACACUACAAAAGUAUCGACUCACAAUAGAUACUUAUAGAGGAGUGGGAUUUCAUGACCAUCUCCACUCUCCAUGUCAGGUCUUACGCAUGUUGUCAGGUAUGUACAAGUGCCCUAACACAUCCAGAAAACAUUGUUUCCUCAUGGUCAUAUACCCCCUCUGGCAUUUGCAAUAUCUCUGCCCCCCUUUUCACAAUAAUCCCUGAGGCUUAAGAUAAGGGGAAGUAAUAUAGAUGUCUCAUUUGAGAC